CAAGUCUGUCAACUUGAUGUUUCUUUCUGA
rnacentral:piRNA from 1 species